UACGGAGGGUGCGAGCGUUGUCCGGAAUCACUGGGCGUAAAGGGCGCGUAGGUGGCGCGGGCAGUCAACGGUGAAAGUUCGGGGCUCAACCCUGAAUCGGCCGUCGAUACUCCCGGGCUGGAGCACUGUAGAGGCUAAGUGGAAUCCGGGUGUAGCGGUGGAAUGCGUAGAGAUCCGGAAGAACACCGGUGGCGAAGGCGGUUAGCUGGGCAGUUGCUGGACACUGAG
rnacentral:rRNA from 1 species